rnacentral:rRNA from 1 species
CAAUAGCGUAUAUUUAAGUUGUUGCAGUUAAAAAGCUCGUAGUCGGAUUUUGGCUGAGAACGAUCGGUCCGCCGUUAGGUGUGCACUGAGUGGUCUCAGCUUCCUGGUGAGGAGGUGUGCUUCACGGCCACUUAGUCACCGUGGUUACUUUGAAAAAAUUAGAGUGUUCAAAGCGGGCUUACGCUUGAAUAUAUUAGCAUGGAAUAACACCAUAGGACUCCUGUCCUAUUUCGUUGGUCUCGGGACGGGAGUAAUGAUUAAGAGGAACAGUUGGGGGCAUUCGUAUUUCAUUGUCAGAGGUGAAAUUCUUGGAUUUAUGAAAGACGAACUUCUGCGAAAGCAUUUGCCAAGGAUGUUUUCAUUGA